UACGGUCAUCAUCAUCAUCGCCGUCACCGAGUUGCGUUUGUCACCGCAUGCCCAGGACCAACGACCGUCAUCAACCCACCGGGGCCGCGCCACUCGGGUCAGCAACCCGCACUCCUCAACAAGCUCACGCUAGAUGCCCAUGAAGCAGCCAUCCACGUCCCCGAUAUGCCAUUUUUGACCUCCCUGGGCCAUAGUCGUCGUCGCCAAGUAACCGAGGACUACUGCCACCACAACACUCGCUACGUAGCUGUGCAUGAGGAAAGAGGUGACAAUGGGGACACACACAUCGAGGCGAUGACAGGGGUGCACGUCGGCAGUGGUGCCUAG
rnacentral:lncRNA from 1 species